GCAUAGCGACCCCAGGUCAGGCGGG
rnacentral:rRNA from 1 species